AUUGAGCGCUGGCGGCAGGCUUAACACAUGCAAGUCGAGCGGAGAGAGGUAGCUUGCUACUGAUCUUAGCGGCGGACGGGUGAGUAAUGCUUAGGAAUCUGCCUAUUAGUGGGGGACAACAUUUCGAAAGGAAUGCUAAUACCGCAUACGUCCUACGGGAGAAAGCAGGGGAUCUUCGGACCUUGCGCUAAUAGAUGAGCCUAAGUCGGAUUAGCUAGUUGGUGGGGUAAAGGCCUACCAAGGCGACGAUCUGUAGCGGGUCUGAGAGGAUGAUCCGCCACACUGGGACUGAGACACGGCCCAGACUCCUACGGGAGGCAGCAGUGGGGAAUAUUGGACAAUGGGCGCAAGCCUGAUCCAGCCAUGCCGCGUGUGUGAAGAAGGCCUUAUGGUUGUAAAGCACUUUGAGCGAGGAGGAGGCUACUUUAGUUAAUACCUAGAGAUAGUGGACGUUACUCGCAGAAUAAGCACCGGCUAACUCUGUGCCAGCCGCCGCUGUAACAC
rnacentral:rRNA from 1 species